rnacentral:misc_RNA from 1 species
GAGGGGAGAGCAGGGUUAAUUAUCUUCUGUUUGGUUGGAGACUGGGAAGGAAAAAGGAAGAAGGAAAGUUGUUAGUCACAUAUAAAUUGAGGUUUGAAUGGGCAAUGUUGAGGUAUCAUUGUUAUUUAGGUUAAAGCCNNNNNNNUUUGGUUAUGAGGAAAACUAAUUGAAAAUAAAAUUAAUGGAUAGGCUUGUUUUGACCCAAA